rnacentral:rRNA from 1 species
UUGGACAAUGGGCGCAAGCCUGAUCCAGCCAUGCUGCGUGAUUGAAGAAGGCCUUCGGGUUGUAAAGCUUUUUUGUUGGGAAAGAAAUCCUGUCGGUUAAUACCCGGUAGGGAUGUCGGUACCCCAUCAUUAAUCGUCUGCUAACUUCGUGCAAGCUGCCGCGGGAAUACGAAGGUUGCAAGCGUUACUCGGAAUUACUGGGCUUAAAGCGUGCGUAGGUGGUUUGUUAAGUCGGAUGUGAAAGCCCCGGGCUCAACCUGGGAAUUGCAUUGGAUACUGGCAGGCUAGAGUGCGGUAGAGGGUAGUGGAAUUCCCGGUGUAGCAGUGAAAUGCGUAGAGAUCGGGAGGAACAUCUGUGGCGAAGGCGACUGCCUGGACCAGCACUGACACUGAGGCACGAAAGCGUGGGGAGCAAGCAGG